GCCUAUUUCCAACUCAGUCUUUUCGUGGCGCAAUACGAAGAGUGCCGGCCGCAUCUCAUCCAGCAUUUAGUGGAUCGUAAAGUCAUCCAUUGGGACACGGUUAUUCGACAGCUAACAUCUCAGGCCUUGCAUCAAAUGACGUUCCUCGAUCCGGAGAGUAUGAAACUGAUUCUUUCUACUCAGAUCCUUCCUCGCUGUACAAAUCCUGAACUCUAUUUACGGCACGGAAGCAUUUUGGCCAGUGGCAAAGUCAUCAUCGCUCUUUGUCAAGUGGCAAAAGACCAUCAACGUCGUCUGCCAGAUGAACUUGGUGAUGCCACGAUGGAAU